GGCUAUGUUAAUACGUAGUAUCCAGACAUCCAGGUGUCUAGCUCUACCAAGUUCUGUCAGAUAUGCCCAUGAUACAUUAUAUUUUUCGCUAUACCUGUUUAUAAAGAUUCCAGAACAUUAACAGAAGCCUUUGGAUCUUCAUCUAAUGGUCUUAACCGUUGUUUUAAACGUCCGCUUCCGGCAAAGUUUGGCAUGAAAGAAGAACGUGCUGCCGUCAACAAUAGCGCAGUUGUACAUUCUUCUAUGGAAGUCACUGACUGUUCCAUUGCCUCGCCAUAAUAAGACGCGGACGUGACAGCAUAGCCUAGAGCUGUUCGCCAGCACCCACCUUUUCAUACCUCAGCGUAGGUUGGCAGAGGACGUCCUUUCUGCCUCUUGGGUCUUCUUGGCCUUUGACUGGCCUUUCUGCGGAUGUAAAAGGUUUUGCAAGGACAAAAAGGAGAACAGAUCCUUUCCCCCUUCUACAUACGCCGUAUACUAGUACUGCUAGUAUGUUACUGUACAUAUGUACCUAAGCAAGUACUGUACUAUCUUUUGAGUGGAAAAAAGCAAUGAAUGCGUUCUGCCUCCUUCGAGACUGAAUCAAAACAUCUUGAUGCUACAAGUUAUACCA